AGCAGCCGUGGUAAUUCCAGCUCCAAUAGCGUAUAUUAAAGUUGUUGCAGUUAAAAAGCUCGUAGUUGAAUUUCGGGGUCAGUAAGUUGGUCGUGCCACUGGUAUGUACUGGCUUUACUGAUUCCUCCUUCUUGUAGAACCGUAAUGCCAUUAAGUUGGUGUUGCGGGAAAACAGGACUGUUACUUUGAAAAAAUUAGAGUGUUUAAAGCAAGCUAACGCUUGAAUACAUUAGCAUGGAAUAAUGAAAUAGGACGAACGAUCCUAUUUUGUUGGUUUCUAGGAUUGACGUAAUGAUUAAUAGGGAUAGUUGGGGGCAUUAGUAUUCAAUUGUCAGAGGUGAAAUUCUUGGAUUUAUUGAAGACUAACUACUGCGAAAGCAUUUGCCAAGGAUGUUUUCAUUAAUCAAGAACGAAAGUUAGGGGAUCGAAGACGAUCAGAUACCGUCGUAGUCUUAACCAUAAACUAUGCCGACUAGGGAUCGGAUGAUGUUAAUUUUUUAAUGACUCAUUCGGCGCCUUA
rnacentral:rRNA from 1 species